UACGAAGGGGGCUAGCGUUGUUCGGAAUUACUGGGCGUAAAGCGCACGUAGGCGGAUCGAUCAGUCAGGGGUGAAAUCCCAGAGCUCAACUCUGGAACUGCCUUUGAUACUGUCGAUCUAGAGUAUGGAAGAGGUGAGUGGAAUUCCGAUGUAGAGGUGAAAUUCGUAGAUAUUCGGAGGAACACCAGUGGCGAAGGCGGCUCACUGGUCCAUUACUGGACGCUGAGGUGCGAAAAGCGUGGGGAGCAACAGG
rnacentral:rRNA from 1 species